UUGUUAGCUUGCUAUCCAGAUAGGUCAUACUGUGGCCCUCCAGAUUUCUUAUGCCGGUAUUGUGGUGCCUCCUUCUGGUUUGCUGAGUGUUCCAAGUCCGGGUCAUCCUGGACACAACGUAAGAUGGUUUACAAUCGUUGUUCUAAAGGCGCUAAGGUUUAUAUUCCUCCCUUUAAGGAUCCCCCGGCCUAUCUCCGGGAGCUCCUUCGAUUCGAUGGUACUUCUCGUGCUAAAAAAUUCAUCCGGGCUAUACGUGAGUACAAUUGUAUGUUCGCAUUUACUUCGAUGGGUUCUACCGUUGAACGCUCUUUUGGUGGCAGCCGUGGGCCUAAGAUCUUCAAGAUCAGUGGUCAAGUGUCUCAUCGUAUUGGUUCGCUGGUGCCCAGCGGUGAUGAUACUCCUAAGUUUGCUGAGUUGUACAUACAUGACCCCGCUAAUGAGAUUAGACAUAGGAUGAAUGCUUUAAAUCCGGACGAUAAACCUAUUGGGGGGGUCGAUGAGAGUAUUGUGGUUGGCCUUAGAGAUAUGCUUAAUGAGUCUAACCCAUUGGUACAAACCUUUAGGGAGGCAAAGGAUCGCGGUGAUGAACCUAUAGAGGAUAUCUCGAUUCGUAUUAUAGGGCCUUCAGAGGGUGAUAGUCCACAAUUUAGCUUGCCUACAACUACUGGGCUUGCUGCUUUGGUUGUCGGUGGUGGGUUCACGUUAGAGGCGUCUUCCCGGGAUAUUGUUGUCCGCAGUCGUUCUGAUGGUUUGCAGCAGAUAUCUUCUCUGAACACUGCGUUCAUGCCUCUGCAAUACCCGUUGCUUUUUCCUUAUGGUGAGAGGGGGUUCCAGAUUGAUGUUCCUCACCUGAUUGUUCCUGAAGAAGACACGAAUAGUCGGAAUAGGAUGACCAUGCAAGAUUACUAUCGUUUUAUGUGCCAUUACAAAGGUGAUCAGCCCAAUCCAUAUAUAUGCUAUGGUCUCCUCUCCUCCCAGUCCGUUGUUGAUGCACGCGCGUGCAUUGAUGAGAGUAGACUAUGGUAUAUCAUAAGAAAUCAGGACAUGUUCAGAUCAGAGCAUAUGCAGGGUAUUACCGAUGCAGUAGGUGAUGGGUGUGUAGAUGGCGACACUGUUGGAAAGAGGACCAUUGUGCCCUCCAGUCACAUGGGUGGUCGUCGUUAUUUUAAUGAGAACUUCCAUGAUGGCAUUGCCAUUUGUCGGGUGCAUGGUGCACCAGACGUAUUUACCACUUUCACUUGUAAUCCCAAGUGGCCCGAGAUCACCGCUGCAUUAGAGCCAGGGCAGGCGCCUUCUGAUAGGGCAGAUGUUGUUGUUAGGGUCUAUCACACGAAGCUUGCCGAGUACUUGGAUGAGAUCAAGUCAGGCCGGGCUUUUGGCCCCAUCCUAUAUACUAUUGAGUUCCAGAAGCGUGGGCUGCCACACGCGCAUAUACUUGUCUGGCGGAUAGGGGGCAACGGUGAGAUUGGUGUUGAAAAUAUUAAUUCAUUAAUAUCUGCUGAGAUACCUGAUGCGUUGCUUGAUCCUCUAGGGUAUGCUUUAGUUUCCGAAUUUAUGAUGCACAGUCCGUGUGGUGAAAUGAACGAUAAAUGUGUCUGCAUGAAAAAAGGUGUUUGUUCUAAAUAUUUUCCAAAGGAUUUUAGAGAUGCUACUGUCAUUGAUGAUAACGGGUUUGUCUUAUAUCGACGUCGCGACGACGGUCGAAGGGUUUAUAAAAAUGGUUACUUUCUUGACAAUAGGCAUGUUGUUCCUUAUAAUAUGGCCAUGCUCAAGAAAUUUCAGGGUCAUAUAAAUGUAGAGUGGUGUAAUAAGACACAAGUGAUGAAAUACCUUUUCAAGUACGUCACCAAGGGUGCUGAUUACUCUAAGGUCAUGUUAGAAAGGUUAAAA
rnacentral:rRNA from 1 species